rnacentral:rRNA from 1 species
CCUACGGGGCGCAGCAGUGGGGAAUAUUGGACAAUGGGCGAAAGCCUGAUCCAGCCAUGCCGCGUGUGUGAAGAAGGCCUUCGGGUUGUAAAGCACUUUCAGUGGGGAAGAAAGCCUUGGGGCUAAUACCCUCGAGGAAGGACAUCACCCACAGAAGAAGCACCGGCUAACUCCGUGCCAGCAGCCGCGGUAAUACGGAGGGUGCGAGCGUUAAUCGGAAUUACUGGGCGUAAAGCGCGCGUAGGCGGUCUGAUAAGCCGGUUGUGAAAGCCCCGGGCUCAACCUGGGAACGGCAUCCGGAACGGUCAGGCUAGAGUGCAGGAGAGGAAGGUAGAAUUCCCGGUGUAGCGGUGAAAUGCGUAGAGAUCGGGAGGAAUACCAGUGGCGUAGGCGGCCUUCUGGACUGAAACUGACGCUGAGGUGCGAAAGCGUGGGUAGCAAACAGGAUUAGAUACCCGAGUAGUC